GGUCGUCCGGAUAGUUCGAAAUUUCACUCAACUUCUCCCUCGAGAGGCGUAAAAAGUACAACCGCCCGCAUUCCCAGCUGCCCGACCAGGGUUUUCUACCUUACAAAGUUGACUUUGCAUCGCCUUCUUGGAAUUCCCAUUUUUGAACGCCCCAAACCCAGACAUUACUCAAAUAAUAACAAGGAUUUCCUUCUUUGAUGCCAUGGCUUGGGGUCGUCUGGAGUUUUCCAAGUCAAAUGGACUUUCCCAGGUUUACUGUUGGUUCGUCCGGUUUAAUGUUUGUUGUCACACAGGACAAAAAAACAUAGAUCUGAUGGAAUUAAGCUGCAGAGGAAUAAAAACAAGCUCAUGAUAAGUGUUCCCUGGGACACUUAUUUUUUUCUGCAUACUUCGUCUACUGUCUAAGAAAUGAAUCUGCAGUUGGUAAAAUAUCAUGCUUACUACCUCCUGUUCAGGGGUGGGAUUCAGCUGGUUCGGACCAACUGGAUGCUAAUUUUACAUCUGGUUCGCCGAACUGGUAGUUACAAGGACUGGAUGGUCCCGCCCACCCCUCCCCUCAGGAGUCUCCACACAACCCAUUUUGGAUGCCAGGUUCAGCUAUCUUUCUCUUUUUGUUAAACGUUAUUUUGUCUGAGAGUGUUAAUACUGCUGGCCUCGUUUCCUGUGAGAGUGAUAACUGAUCUGUAAUGGAUUCUAAAAAAAGAACAAGACUGGGAACAUUCAUUUAUAUGAGCAACCUAAUUGGGGUUGGCAGAGACUUGUUGCUGUCUGAAUUCUCAACAUUGCGAGACAUUUUAAGAUAUGGCCGACUGUUAAAAGAACAAAGUAGUGAUAAUGCUAGAAACUAUCCAGCAACCAGUCUAGCAAGAGACAUAUAUCCAAAAGUGCUUGAAAAGUGGGAAUGAGCGAACAGUUCUUUUGUUACUCCUGUUGUAAAUUCAUGGUGACAAUCUUGAAAAAGAUCCAAGAGAGCUGGGAUCAAAAACAUAUCUCUUGGUAGAGGAAAGCUAGAUGUCAAAGAGAUUUUCACUGUGUAACUUGACAAACUGUUUGACUUCCACAACUGCAAGUGUCAAAUUGUUCUUUGUGCCAAAUUCGGCUGCCCUGCUGGCUGCAAAAAAGAAGCUCACAUUAACUGUACCUGCCCUGAGAAGACAAAGAUACCAUUGAAGGAACUUGCUUUCGUUAAAGGUCGGAGAGACAAGAAUGGUUCUUUUGGAUCGCACCAGAUUGAUUUGCCAGAUGUGCCCGAGCAGAAACAACUAGUCAAAAGGCAAAAGUGAUAAGACAAUGAGAGACAAAGGCUCGCUAAAUAUAAGCAGAGAAAUAUUCCAGACAUUUCAAUACUGACAAAUGAAAUAAUUAUCUCUUACGAUGAAAAUGGAGGACAGACAAUAGAUGAUGAGGAUGAAGAGGAAUGUGAUGGAAGUUAUGAAGAUGCUUUAGACCAAACACACGUGCCGUCUACUUCAAAAGAAAAGACAAAAUGCAAUAGAUUAGAAAUAACAAAAGUCACUAUGCAGAGUAGAGCAUAAGAUACAGUGUUGGUCUAUGUGCCACACCCGCCUUCAUAGAUGCUGGUUUGAUUACCAAAGAAGACAAGAGACUUGUAGUUGACAACAAUAAAGUCAAGAGAGCCCAGGAAAAAAUUCUGAAGUCCCUAGAUCAAGAAUUUGAUAGACUCUGUAAGAAGGGCAAAAUAGAAUGCAUCUUCUUUGACGGACAUAUGGUUGCAACUAAAGCAGGGGUGAAAUUCAACAGGUUCUGACAGGUUCUGGAGAACCGUUAGCGGAAAUUUUGAGUAGUUUGGAGAACCGGCAAAUACCACCUCUGGCUGGCUCCAGAGUGGGGUGGGAAUGGAGAUUUUGCAAUAUCUUUCCCCCAGAAGUGGGGAGGGGAUGGGGAUUUUGCAGUAUCCUUCCCCUGGAGCGGGGAAGGAAUGGAGAUUUUGCAGUAUCCUUCCCCUGCCAUGCCCACCAAGCCAUGCCUACCAAGCCACACCAAGCCCACCUAGCCAUGCCCACAGAACCGGUAGUAAAAAAAUUUGGAUUUCACCACUGAACUAAAGUUAUGCUGAAAGCAAACAAUUCAGAGCAGCAAUUCCCCAGUACCAUCAAAGAAUAUUAUUCUGUGUGCAGUGAGCCAGGUGGAAGAUAUCUUUAUCAUUUCACUCCAGAGAAUGGCUCAGAAACAGGAAAACCUGUUAAAGUGAUUGCAGAUAAUCUGGUGUAUUUCAUGAAGAAGAAAUUCAUUGGAGGCCAUUGGAGGAGAUUCUACAAAUGUUAAUACUGGUUGUGAAAGUGGUGCCAUACACUGGAUAGAGGUCAAGCUUGACCGGACAUUGAUCUGGUUGGUGUGUACACUCUACAUGAAUGAGUUACCCCAGAACACUUAAUCACAAAAUUGUAUGGGAAGACCUUGUCUAACAACAAUUGGGCAUGUAAAAUUGGCAACAUGCUAGACACUGUAACAGGACUUGACAUUGAUCCUUCAUUCACCAGAGUUUCAAAUGGUGAGCCUCUCAUUUCACUGAGCGACAGUGUUGUAAAGGCUCUCUCUACUGAUCAAACGUAUGGAUAUAGGAUCACGCAGGCAAUAAGAACAGGAGAACUUCCCACAAAACUGGCUGUUCUGGAAAUUGGCCCCAUAAGCCAUUCAUGCAUUGAUAACUGCAAAUAAACUUUGUUAAAUAUAGGUUUCAAAACAUGGCUUUGGAAUACAUUGUUGGUGUGUACUACCCUUGUUGGUUCAACAUCAAAGUAAAAUAUUACUGGAUUGAAGUCCUGUGUCAUGUGUUAUUCCAGCUGCAAUAAGUCAGACUGCAAAAGAAGGCUGUAGUACAUACUGUUUUGCCAACCAUUCAGUAUGGUAUGCUUUCAGUGAAAUGAUAAUCCAGACACUCUUGUGUUCAGAUGAAAUUCAAGAGAGGAGAGCUGGUGUGCAAAAGAUCAUUGAGUUGAGCAGUGCGGAUGAUGACGCACUGGGAGAUUUUUCUGUACGUGCAAGAAAAAAGCCUUCAAUCAAUGCCAGAGCAUCCACUCUGGUGGAGCUGAUUGACUGGUCUGAAGGUUUAUAUGAGCCACCUUUGAUGUGCAAACUGACUACAGCAGAAAUAAAGAAGUUCAUUGAUGAACCAAUGUAAGUACCACAGUGGCCCUGUCAUACCCAAUCAAUAGAGAGAUGUGUAAAACAGAUCACAGAGGCAGGAAGCAGAGUAUAUACAUGAGAAAUGUGAAGGUUAUAUCAAAGGCCAAGAAGUAAGUCAGUGACUGAUAUCAAAGAACGAUUCAAAACAAAACUUUAUGAAACUCAGAUAAUUACUUUCUGAUGUUAAUUUAUCAUUGAAUGGAUUAUUUUUUGCUUAGCUAGAUAAGAUUCAUGCAGAAAAAAACUUUAUUUUUUGUAGCACAAGGUGUAAUUUUGAGAAGAUAAAGUUAACAGUAUUUGCAUUAUAAGAGACUUUUAUGGGUUAUAUGAUCAGGUGUGGAUUUACUAUACCAACCUAAACAUUGUACAAUUGCAAAAAUAACACCAGGUUUGAAUUCUUUGUGUAAAAACACAUAUUUUUAGAAUCCCUCACUGAAAAAAAUUGCAAAAAUUAAUUUUCACCGUAUUAAAUGACACACCCUAAAAGCACACUACCAUAUCAGGUCCUUCAGAUCGGAUUCUAAACUGCACUGUUGUUAUGAGGGCAAGUCUGCUUCUAUUCCAUUCAGUUGAGAUAUUCCGAGAAUAUUCUGGACGCAUCUGCAUUACAAGGAAAAAGAUU